UUCGCAUGGGGGGGGAACCUGGACGCAGCACGCCGCGUGGAGGAUGAAGUCCCUUGGGACGUAAACUCCUUUCGAUCGGGACGAUAAUGACGGUACCGGAAGAAGAAGCCCCGGCUAACUUCGUGCCAGCAGCCGCGGUAAUACGAGGGGGGCAAGCGUUGUUCGGAAUUAUUGGGCGUAAAGGGUGCGUAGGUGGUUCGGCAAGUCUUGUGUGAAAUCUUCAGGCUCAACUUGAAGUCUGCACAAGAAACUGCCGGGCUUGAGUAUGGGAGAGGUGAGUGGAAUUUCCGGUGUAGCGGUGAAAUGCGUAGAUAUCGGAAGGAACACCUGUGGCGAAAGCGGCUCACUGGACCAUUACUGACACUGAGGCACGAAAGCUAGGGGAGCAAACAGGAUUAGAUACCCUGGUAGUCCUAGCCCUAAACGAUGAUCGCUUGGUGUGGCGGGUAUCCAACCCUGCCGUGCCGAAGCUAACGCGUUAAGCGAUCCGCCUGGGGAGUACGGUCGCAAGG
rnacentral:rRNA from 1 species